CAGCGCCACAAGUGGGGAUCCUGUUUAUUUGGCCUAAAGCGCCCGUAGCUGGUUUAGUAAAUCUCUUGUGAAAUCGUUGGGCUCAACCCAUCGGCGGGCAGGAGAGACUGCUAAGCUAGGGACCGGGAGGAGUCAGAGGUAUGCAGGGGGGAGCGGUAAAAUGCUAUAAUCCUCAGUAGACCACCUAUGGCGAAGGCAUCUGACUAGAACGGGUCCGACAGUGAGGGACGAAAGCCAGGGGAGCAAACCGGAUUAGAUACCCGAGUAGUCC
rnacentral:rRNA from 1 species